GCCUCUAUGGCGCAGUGGUAACGCGGUAUGAUACAUCUAUAGCCGGACUUUGAGUCUUUACUAAACGAUUGUCAGUCGCACUUGUACCGCUGGAAAAUACUUCCUUAUGCCAUAAAAUGCGAAGAUCACAAGUUCAAUUCUUGUUGGAGGCA